CCUUAAUACUAUAAUAUCAUAUAUUACUUAAAGUCGCAUACCCUAGUACAAUUCGGAGAGAUCAGUAUGGUUGUUAAAAGCUAAAAAUAAUAACCUUCUCCCGCAAAACCUGGGUAAAUGUUGGCAUACACACGGGGAAAAUUUCGGCGAGGGGAUUUAGGUAGAGGUUCAUAAAUAAAAAAAUAAAAUACAUUAAAUUAUAAAACUAUUAAACGAUACGGUUUUUAAAUUUCGGGAAAAGGAGAUUUAACCCUUAAAUCCCGCCCUGUAUACGUAUCUGAUUAAAUUCUUAUUGAAACUAAACUUUCAUCACUUCAAUCCGCCUAUGUAAUAAUUCUCGAGUUUCAGUUCAUUUUAUCCAGAGAAUGCUGGAGAAAAUUCAGUAAAAAAAAAAAAAAAAACACAAAUGACGACAAUGAAAUUUAAUGCUGACAAAUAUUAUUAUAAUUUUUUAAAACAAUAUUACAGGUAUAUUAAAAAAAAAAAAAAAAAAAAUGACUAAGGUUUCUUUUGCAGCUGUUAUGAAUAAAGAAAAUAAAAAAAAAAUAAAUAGUUUCCAUCUUGCACCUUAAAUACUCGUUAAAUAUUCCCUUUCAGACGCGGAAAUUAUCGGUAUAUUAUAUAUGUACCAGGAGGACUAUACUUGGCGGCGACGAACUUAAGAAAUCCUUAU